rnacentral:lncRNA from 1 species
GUGGCGGCCAAACCAUGAUGGGAAUUCAAAACAAAACAAAAAACAAGGAAACCCAAAAAAUCCACGAUUUCAACAUAUUUUGGCUGAAAAACUAGCAAAAAUCCCAACUUAAAACCUAUAGAAGAUUAGGUGGAAGAUGAUUAGAGGAAUUUAACUGAUUUUUUGAUGGGAAUUGGUCUAAUUUGUAGUGGCCAAAAUAAGAUUAUUUAUCGGGAAGAAUAGAAAGAAAAAAAA